UGGGAGUUGUGCAAACGAUCCUUUGACCUGAGAUCACCAUGAUACCUUGUGUACAUGAAUCCAUAUUUUGGUUUACUUCCUAACUUGAUUCUCUAAUCCUUAUGUGGGGUGUUCUGGAUAUAGUAUAGUGUGCAUGAAGGUUAUAAGUGGUCAAUAAGAGAUCAAUUACUUUUAAUAAGGGGAGCGAACAUCCUAUGUAAUCUCAUAGAUUGAUAACUCUGAAAGUCCUUAGCCAAAGUAGGAUGAUAAUUAGAAAAAAGUUUCUAAUAUAUCAUCAACUGAAUCAUCAUCUUCUAAUUGAAAUAUAUUUAGAUAAGCAAUUG
rnacentral:lncRNA from 1 species